UAUCUCUCCACAGCAGCAUGUCUGUGCAGAUCACAAUGCCCAGUUGCUGCGUUCACUUACCCCAUGAACAGACUGAACUCUGGGAGUCUCACAUCUGCAGAGCAAGGUUGAAGGACCAUGGAGCCAUCCCAACAAAUGUUUUCAGAGGACAAAGCGUUUAUCAUUGGUUCCCUGAACAAACAGAUGCAUCACCGACUGGCUUCCUGACUGUGGAUACAAGGUAACCAGCUGCCUAAGCAACUGUUGCCAUGCCUUCCUCAGCGUCACCAGAUUGCAUCCUGUAACUGUGAGCCAAAAGAAUCCCUUCUCCCGGGCAAGAGGUUUUUUGAGUUUGUUUUAUUCUUGUUUUUGUUUAUUUGUUUGCUUGCUUGCUCUGUUUUGGUUUUGUUUGAUUUUUUAAAAAUUUUCUUUUAGGGGUGCACUGCAGGGGUGAGGGAAUGAUAUAGGGGUGUUGGGAAGUGAGCAGAAUUAGGGUGCAUGAUGUAAAAUUCCCAAAGAAUCAAUAUAGAAAUAAUGUUUGAAAAAACUCCCUUCUCUCCUUAAGUUGCUUUUGUCAUAGCAAGAACUCACAUAACUAAUAAUAUAUACUAUUAUUUAUCUUAUGCAAACCUGUUACAAAAUGAAAAUUUAAAUAUUUUUUUCAAGGAAGAAAGUGCUCUUAAAAACAAGAGAAACAAAGGCCCAAUAAAGCCUCUCAUUUGAUAAAAA